UGGGGGACAACAUUCCGAAAGGAAUGCUAAUACCGCAUACGCCCUACGGGGGAAAGCAGGGGAUCUUCGGACCUUGCGCUAAUAGAUGAGCCUAAGUCAGAUUAGCUAGUUGGUGGGGUAAAGGCCUACCAAGGCGACGAUCUGUAGCGGGUCUGAGAGGAUGAUCCGCCACACUGGGACUGAGACACGGCCCAGACUCCUACGGGAGGCAGCAGUGGGGAAUAUUGGACAAUGGGCGAAAGCCUGAUCCAGCCAUGCCGCGUGUGUGAAGAAGGCCUUUUGGUUGUAAAGCACUUUAAGCGAGGAGGAGGCUACUUGGAUUAAUACUCUAGGAUAGUGGACGUUACUCGCAGAAUAAGCACCGGCUAACUCUGUGCCAGCAGCCGCGGUAAUACAGAGGGUGCGAGCGUUAAUCGGAUUUACUGGGCGUAAAGCGUGCGUAGGCGGCUUCUUAAGUCGGAUGUGAAAUCCCUGAGCUUAACUUAGGAAUUGCAUUCGAUACUGGGAAGCUAGAGUAUGGGAGAGGAUGGUAGAAUUCCAGGUGUAGCGGUGAAAUGCGUAGAGAUCUGGAGGAAUACCGAUGGCGAAGGCAGCCAUCUG
rnacentral:rRNA from 1 species